UACGUAGGGUGCAAGCGUUGUCCGGAAUUAUUGGGCGUAAAGCGCACGUAGGUGGUUUUAUAAGUCGGAUGUGAAAGCCCCGGGCUUAACCUGGGAAUUGCAGUCGAGACUGCUCGGCUAGAGUGUGGGAGAGGGUGGUGGAAUUCCCGGUGUAGCGGUGAAAUGCGUAGAUAUCGGGAGGAACAUCAGUGGCGAAGGCGACCACCUGGCCCAACACUGACGCUGAGGUGCGAAAGCGUGGGUAGCAAACAGG
rnacentral:rRNA from 1 species